GACGAACGCUGGCGGCGUGCUUAACACAUGCAAGUCGAACGGUGACGAAUAGAGCUUGCUCUGUUCUGAUCAGUGGCGAACGGGUGAGUAACACGUGAGUAACCUGCCCCAGACUCUGGAAUAAGCGCUGGAAACGGCGUCUAAUACCGGAUACGACACCAAUCCGCAUGGGUAUGGUGUGGAAAGUUUUUCGGUUUGGGAUGGACUCGCGGCCUAUCAGCUUGUUGGUGAGGUAAUGGCUCACCAAGGCGACGACGGGUAGCCGGCCUGAGAGGGCGACCGGCCACACUGGGACUGAGACACGGCCCAGACUCCUACGGGAGGCAGCAGUGGGGAAUAUUGCACAAUGGGCGAAAGCCUGAUGCAGCGACGCCGCGUGAGGGAUGACGGCCUUCGGGUUGUAAACCUCUUUCAGCAGGGAAGAAGCGCAAGUGACGGUACCUGCAGAAGAAGCACCGGCUAACUACGUGCCAGCCGCCGCCGUAAUAC
rnacentral:rRNA from 1 species